GACGAACGCUGGCGGCGUGCCUAAUACAUGCAAGUAGAACGCUGAAGAGAGGAGCUUACUCUUCUUGGAUGAGUUGCGAACGGGUGAGUAACGCGUAGGUAACCUGCCUUGUAGCGGGGGAUAACUAUUGGAAACGAUAGCUAAUACCGCAUAACAAUGGAUGACACAUGUCAUUUAUUUGAAAGGGGCAACUGCUCCACUACAAGAUGGACCUGCGUUGUAUUAGCUAGUAGGUGAGGUAAUGGCUCACCUAGGCGACGAUACAUAGCCGACCUGAGAGGGUGAUCGGCCACACUGGGACUGAGACACGGCCCAGACUCCUACGGGAGGCAGCAGUAGGGAAUCUUCGGCAAUGGGGGCAACCCUGACCGAGCAACGCCGCGUGAGUGAAGAAGGUUUUCGGAUCGUAAAGCUCUGUUGUAAGUCAAGAACGGGUGUGAGAGUGGAAAGUUCACACUGUGACGGUAGCUUACCAGAAAGGGACGGCUAACUACGUG
rnacentral:rRNA from 1 species